AGUCCUCACUUUGACGAACUGUUCUGGAGGCUACUGGUUAACCCAACUGAGCACGGUGAGAUUGAGGAGCGACGGCGGCCUCAACGAUUGAGCGCGCGGCAGCACCCUUGGCGGAGCUCGCGUGGCGCCCUCAGCGGAGCUCGCACGGCGGCCACGACGGAGCUCGCGCGGCGGCCUCGACGGAGCUCGCGCGGCGGCCUCGACGGAGCUCGCGCCGGAGGCCUUGGCGAUUGCGCUGCUGACGGCGAGCUCGGCGGAGCUCGUGGCGGCGGGCUUGACGAUUGAGCUCGCGGAAGCGACCUCGGCAAUUGAGCUUGCAACCGCGUCAAGUUGACUCUCGAUUGAGCUUCUCAGAGGCCAAAUCGUGGUGCGCUCGCCGCCUGGACGCGGGAAGGGGAAUCGCUGCUGGUCCGGGUUAGUAAGAAGAGGGCAAGGGCCGCACCAGGAGAGAUGGUGACUUCAGGAGAAGCAUCCUGCGUGAAGGCCUGCUCGCCAUCAACCAGAAAGUAGGGAUGCGAGCUUGAUGCAAGCUCCUAUGACAAAGGGCCUGUCUCUUCAACGUUGGAGGUCUCAUGAUCUGCACAAACGGAAAGAUUGAAGCUACAGCAGCAUACCUGUUUGGGAAGCGUGAGGAGCUUCUUCCAUGUUGAAGAAGAACACUGUCCUGGAUUCUGAUCCACGGAGAGGAACUUUCUUGUGAAGGUGUUCUCGAUUUUUUUGAUCGGGAUGCAACUUCCAGCGAGAUUGGUACGAGAAAGGGGAUCACGCGGGAAAGGAUCUCGGGGAGGGAACUGUUAGGCGGGAGGGUAACGAUUUGUUAGCUGAUUUUCUGGAGAUUAACUGUAUUUGGAGAGAUACGCUGGUUAUUUGAGGUGUGGGGCCUGCCA